GGGGCAACGUCCGGGGAGGGAGGAAAUAGUGUAGUAAAAAAUAAAACCACAGCCCAGCUGAGUGCGAGAGACGAGCAGAGCCAGAGCCAGAGAAGCAGGAAAUCACAGCCUGGCUGGAGUGCUGCAGAGAUGGUCUGAGUAAUUAUCAACGCCUGCAGGUAUGUGGCAGCAAAAAUUGGGAGCCUGUGUGGCCACAGAGCUGAGGAGCCCCUUACCACCACGGCCCACCCAGCUGACCACAGCCAGAACCAAAAUGUAAACACAGUGAUAGCAGAAGCCCCCCCUCGGGUGACGGACGCAGUCACUAGGGACAAGAUGCUCGGCCCUGAACAGCCCUGCGGAUCCUGAGGGUAGAUGGCCUCAGGGCCCUCCUUGGAAGCCCUAGAUCUUUCUCACGGACUCCGCGAGGGUCUUGGUCUGCUGGGGCUCCUGGUCCCCGGGGCUCGGAAAUGUGUGUUCACCAGUAAAUCCAUCUUGUGUUUGCUCUCUGUACAUUUGUAUAACAAUCUGAAUUGUCUUUAUUAACCCCUUGCCACAAGGAUUUCCCAGCAUGAAAGACAAAUUAAGUCCGACACUCAGCACCUGCGAGAACUGCUGCCUGCAAAACUCACUUCAGGCUCUGUACUGGGGCCAGGGAGAAUAUGUUACCCUUCUCAAUCUAAUAACAAACCAAAGUCGUCUUCAAUACGUACCUAGGGCCAGAUUCUGGUCUCAUGUAUACUGGGGUAACUUCAGAGUAACUUCACUGAAGUUAAUAGAGUCAGAUCCUCGGCUGGUAUAAAUUAGUACUGCUCCAUUGAUUGGAGCUAUGCUGAUUUGCACCAGCUGAGGAUUUGGACCAGAGUAGCUCUGAAUUUACACUGGUAUAACAGAGAAUCUGGCCUUUAGGGCUAAAAAUCAUCUCUAAAACGGUUAUGAAGCAGAGAAACUCCAUUGAUUUCAAUGAAGUUACACUGGAUCUACAUGGAGUAAGAGAGCGCAGAAUUUGGCCCAUGGAGGGAAGACACCACCCUUGCAUGGGUGGAUGGAUCUGGCCCUCGGUGAUCCGAUUUCCUUUCCUCUGGCAAGUCCUCCCUGUAUUGUCACAGCGAGCAAUGACGACAGAUUCACAAACUCCUUUGUGUGGAGAUGAACAAGUCUGAAUCCUUCCUGUGCUACAAACCCUCAAUUCAACCAGCAAUAAAGACUGAAAUCAGAAUGAAAGCCGGCGUGCUGUGCAUUUAUGGCCUUUUGGUGCUGUUCCAUUUGCGAGCGUUUAUUCCUUUGGAGUACACAGUGAAUUCUUUAUUAGUUGUAUUACGGUUGCCGUGAAGGCCCCAGCUCAGAUUACGGCCCUAUGGUGUCUUACAAUGUGUGCAAACAUGUGGUAAGAGGUAGCUUGUGCUCCUGAAUUGCUUACAGCCUACACAGAAAAGACAGAUGGGGGGAGAGGGGGAAGGGAUUCAGCAGUACUGUGAAUGAUUCCCCCUCAUCCUUGGGUGCCCCCUGGCACCCGGGAGCUCCAGCAUCAGGGCUACAUCCCAAUUCCCCUCUCGGAAACGCUCCAUGGCAGGCUCUCUUGCCGGGGGAGGGGAGGCCCUUUAUUACAAAAACAUAGUGCAAAUAAUCCUUAACAAACGUCCCAGAACAUAGUCCACUUAUCAGUCCCUCAUGCCCCACUCCAGGGAAAUAGUCUUUAAAAUCCCAUCACCUCUAGCUCACCAGCAUAGCACGUGCCACAUCUCGGCAUCAUCCACCACCUCUGGGCUCUUCUCCUGUCCUUCUGCUAGGACGGCCUUCCAGCGGGAGUGCAGCCCCUUUUCUUUCCAACAGGAACCCCACCCCCACCACUAGCCUCUCCGCUGGGACAUCAUCCUCACCAGGGGAACAGCAACACUCCCCAGUUCUGUUAACCUCUCAUCUCAGACAGGCCGGCAAAGAAACCCUUCCACUGCUCCCCUGGCUUCAGCCCUCCAGCUUCAACCCGCUGGCUUCGAAGUCAGCAGGAAAGUCCCUAUGCUGCCCCACUGCCUUCAGCCUUCUUCAGCUUGGGGAGGUCAGCCAAAAACCCCUCCGCUGCUUUUUAACCACCCACUGCCCCAGGAACCUCUUACACCUCCCUUCAAGGACCUCCUACCUCUCUGACUCUCCCUCUGGUGCCACCCCAUGCUCUUAAUCAGCCAAAUUGGGAGCAUCACUUCUGGCCUGAACCUGCUUCCUUUCUAAGGGCCAGCCACCCUGGGACAGGUACAGAGAGAGGAAGUGACCUGCCUGAGUAUUAGCACCAAAAUAUCCUGACUCCCAGCCUAGUGCCCUGUCAAGACAACCAGAGGUAACAUUUUCUAUUUUGUUACCAUAAGCUGGUCUGUUUCAAGAGUUUCAUGACAAAGACCUGCUCAGAACAAUGCAGAACGUCCCGCCACAAGAAACUAUUGAGGCUGGGGGUGAAAUGCUCACUGAAGUCAUUGUUAAAAACUUCGGCGGAGCCAGGAUUUCUCUGCAGAAAAAAAGUCUUCAAAAAAAAAAAAAAAGGAUUGGACGCUUACAUGGAUAGCACGAACCUCCACACUUAACAAAAAGUUAUAGGGGACACAAACCGCACAUUUCAGGGCACACGCCAACGGAGAGAGUAAGGAUGGAAUUUCUCCUGGGAGCAGGUUACUUUUUAAUUGUUCCCUAUGGAUUUUUUUGCCCUUUCAUCAAAAACGUCUGGUAGGGACCCCUGUCGGUGACGAGAUACUAAGUUGGAUCACGCUAGUCUGAGGUGGUCUAGCAAUUCCCAUGUUCCUAUGUAAUAGGUGGAGCUUGGUUUAAACGAUUGUCUCCAUGGAGAGGCAAAUUACAAAUGAAUGUGUUUCAUCAACAGAAAUAAGAUAUUCAGGGGACUUCACAGUUAGAAAUAACUGGGCAGGAGCACAUCAUUACAACUGUCUCUCUAGCCCCAUAUACCCUGAUCAUCACUAGGACUUCUGUGUGCCUAAGGCAGCUACUACAAUCUUACAGAUACAGCCUGUCGUGGUCGCGAGGUCAUGUAAAUCCCUAUUGCCGUUUGUACUGGAUCAGCUCCUCCAUGGAACUAUAGCCUUAAGUUUACCUGCUGAAACCAGAUGAUACGGUCUGCAGUUGUCAGAUGGAUUCAUAUGGAAAGCACGAGCCAUGUCUGACUUGGGUGUUGAUUGCCCGUUCGUGGUUAUUACUCCAGGACACAAUUACUUGUAUAAUUUAAGCACUUCAUUCACCUGCCAUUUAUUAAAUUAACCUGGUAACAAGCCAGGAAUCAUAACAUUCAAACACCAGUAGGAGAACACUUCAAUCUCUCUGGUCACUCAAUAACAGACCUCAAAGAGGCAAUUCUUCAACAAAAAAAACUUUAAAAACAGACUCCAACG